ACCUGGCUGGCUCAGUCGGUAGAGCAUGUGACUCUUGAUCUCAGGGUUGUGAGCUCCUGAGUUUGAGCCCCAUGUUGGGUA
rnacentral:tRNA from 1 species